GGAAAAUCCAACAGGGGAAGUCUAUUGCUACUGCCAAAGCUUCUGGGCAGAAUACCAUGAGGAGGGCAGUGCCAUCAUUUUCAAAUCCUACCAAAGUGCCAUCAGCCAAUUGUUGGUAAGCUGAUUUCCUCACACAAAACUCUUCCUCACAUAGGUUUCUCAUCUUUGUAAUACUUGGUGAGACAAACAGGUGAGUGUUGUCCUGCUUGGGUGAAAAUGAGACUUCCCAAGAGAUGAUAAAGGAUUGUUUGGGAGACAUGGGUUUCACUGUCAGAAGUCAAAGGAUGGGAUUAAUAAAUGGGACAGAAAUGGAGGUAAAACCUAGAGUAGGGCCACACAAAAUUAAGGGUUGUCUUCGGUUCUUGAGUGUCCAAAUAUCGAACCAGGACACUGAAGACUAAACAAGACAAGUUAGAUGCAAGCCAGAUGUGACUGGAUCUGGUUGGAUAUUAGAAAGCUUGCCAAAGGCAUUCAAUUAAACCUUAAAUUGGUGCACUUGAGGCAGACCUCUGACAGAGGAUGGAGACAUACUGCCCGUGUGGGAACCCUUGGAGCUAUGAGGCUAACAACCCCCCCAGGGGACCAGAUUCUAGAAUAUGAAUAGAAGAUCUGGAACCCUUUGGCUCCACUAAUCACCAGGCCCCCACCCAUCUUUUCUGUUCUCAGAAGCUCAGGUACCCAAAUGGUGGGAGCCUAAUUAGGUCUGGAAUUGGAGACUCCCUGAAAAUAAAGUGUCCUUGAGAUUUAGCUUCUUUUUCCCAUCUGGCUACACUCAACCACUUAUCUUUACCUUCCUCAGUAAAGAGACAGGCUUUCUUCACAAACAUCUCCUUCCUCUUCUUAUUCCUUAGUGCACCAAGCCCUAGAACACCAUACUCCAGGUCAUAAAUAUAUAGGUUAGAUCCCUGUGGACCUGCUAAUGUAUAAAGGCCCCAUGUCCUCCUUUCUCAGAAUCUUAGGUAAAGACUAGAUAGGGCUGGAAUUGGAGACUCCCUAAAAAUACAGUAUUCCAUGGAAUAUAGUCACCUUCUUCACCAAGAAACACCCAGCAUAUGAUUGAAUCUGGCCGUAUGUCAGCAAGCCUUCCAAAGACUCUUAAGUGAUCCCUAUAAUCACUGGGGGUAGGCCACUGGCAUUCAAGAGGAUGGAAGCAUAUUGCAUAUGCAUAUGUGAGGUAAGAAAGUCCCAGGAGUCCAUCCUUUAUGUCAUGGGCAGAGGAUCCUUUGAGUAAGCCUGCUACAUACUCUUCACUAAGCCUUGGAUUUGGAAACACCCACGUGGGCCUCUGGCAUUCAAGAAGAUGGAUGCAUAUAAAGAAUGUGCAAGCUAUGAAGCUAAGAAAGCCCCAGGAAGCUAGCUUCUGGGCCGUGAAUAGGGUCUGGAAUAUUUUGGAUCCACCAUUAUCAAAGAUUCCCAUGUUCUCUGUUCUGAGCAGCUCCGCAGGAGGAAGGCUAGACAGUACAGGAAUUGGAAACUCUCUGAAAGUACAGGGUCCCUUGGGAUUUAGCUACUGUUUUCUCCAAGAAACACCCAAGGACCUCUCUAAACAUUCCUGAAAAAAGAGACAAGGUCUCCUUUGUAAUACCUGCUUCUUCAAAGUCCCACAAAUAAACCUCUAGGUAAUAUACAGUCUAGAUUCCUCCGGGUCUACCAAUGUACAAGCGCUCCAUCUUCAC
rnacentral:lncRNA from 1 species